CGGCCGCACGGCGGGAGGGGGCUGCGCUCAGCCGCGGCUGGGGGGGGCGGGCGGCAGCGGCUCCGGUACCUGGGCGGGAGGGAACGGGGCUGGAGGCGGCCCCGACCCUGUGAGCAUCACCUUCCUGCUCUGCAUCCCGCAGCCAGGGCAGCCUAAGGCCCAGAAAUGCACCCUGUGCCUUGCAGGAUCCAACUUUUCACAGGGAACUUUUGUUCAGGGCUCCUUUUGAGUCUCUGGGUGCUUCUCCAACCAGCUUUUCAUCUGUUGCUCCCCAGCUGGGGCAAAGAGCAAGGUGAGAGGAGGUGAAAGGUGGAGGGAGCUCCAAAAGAGGUGCUUGUUCACAAAUUCAAAACAAGACUUGUCGCAAAUACUAAGGAGAGGGGGAAGGGAAACUAUUUUUGAUUGCUUUCUGUUUGAUUGUUUUGUGGCUAUUUCUAACGACUGCAGUUAAAAUAAAUUGGGAUUUUGAGUGUGAUUGUUUUUAUAAUUGAAUGUUACCCUUUAAGUAGCUGUUCGGUAUCUGCACCUGCCCUGAAGAGAACUGGAAGACAGAAGGGUUACAUUGUGUUCAGGCUGCGGAGGGGAGCAUUUCCAAGCCUUAUUCAUUUGGAAAGAGAUUUCUGGGAUAUGCAGAUUCCACCCUUCUGACAUCACUGCCUCAUCUCGCCUCAUCGGUGCCUCAUGACACAACCCCUCUCCACAGCACUGAGUCAGCACCACUGUGUGAUCUCCUCUUGGCCAUGCAAGAUGGUGAAAAGCUGCCUAUAAUGGUGAAAGCAUAAAGGAACCUCUAAACAGGUCCCCAAAGGGAUUAAAAAAUUCAUGGUCAUCUUAUGAGAACCCCUCCCAGGAAAUAACAUGUGCUUGGAAAAAUUUACUGUACAGUAACACAGCAGUGUUCUAUGGGAGUGCUCCCACAGCAGAUGGAACAAUAAUUCAUACUGUGUGUUCAAAGAAAGGAGCAAGGAACACUUGCACUUCACUCUGGGAGCUUCAAAAAAGAUGCCAAGCAUCUUUUAGUUAGUUACUGCACCCCAGUAACUAACAGGUACAGGCUGAUUCUGCCUGCUGCACUCUUCUAUAGGCCUGGACUGAAAGAAUAUUUCUUAAAGCAUCCUUGGAAGUGUCCAAGGCCAAGUUGCAGCCUUGCACAUGAAGAGGGGUUUGAAACUAGAUGAUCUUUAAGGUCUCUUCCAACCCAAACUGUUCUAUGAUUCUGUGAAAGCAUCACACACAUGGAGUGCUAACCCUCCUCCCCCCCUAAAAAAGCUGUUUCCUAUUUUGGGAAAAAAAGCCCAGAACAAAACAAUCAAAUGGAAAGAAUCUGAAAUAUUCAUAUAAUGGUUGAAUUGCAAGAGGCAAUGUAAAGAGGAGUUUUAUGUUGGAAGAAACUCAGCCACAUGAAAACUAAAAUAUUGGGCCACUACCCCCAAGUCUGGUCUUAAACAGUCCCUGAGUCUCUAAACACAACCCCAAAAACACUCUGUGCUGCACCUCAGUGUGUCAUUCUGUACAAUAGGGCCAGAUUUUCUUCCUGGAAAACCAGGUCCAGAGGCCAGGAGGCUCUUGUUCUAUUUGCACAUGCAAGUCCUUUUGUUGGGGGAUUUAGGUCACAAGAGGGUAGGAAAGGCAGCUCUGAAUCACCUGGCUCUUGCACGUGUUGCUUGCACGUUGUGCAAAGGUUUCUGAACUCAGCCUCCUUUCAAGACACACCCUUUGUUUGUUACUUUCUCUUAGGGCUUUUUCGCAACCCCAUCCACUGCCAACACAAACAAGGUUGCAACAUCACCCUCCAGUCUGUCUUCCUCUGCUCUAAAUGUCAACCAGCCACAUAGCGCUGCUCACUUGCUUAAUUGGGCAAAAUACCUGCUGUGGCAGCCCUGUGCCUUGACUGCCUCCAGGAGAAAGUUUCUUGGGAAUGGUUGCUGAAACAAGAAGUGUGUCCAGCCUCCAGGGCUUGCCAGCAGCUAUUGACUGAUACGAGCACACUGUCCUCGGUGGCAGGAGGGAGCAACUUGCUUUAUCUAUGCAUUCCCUGGCAAGCAGCAGCAGUGGAGAAAGAGACAUGUCUCACUGGCCAGUGUCCAGUCCCUGGCAAGCCAAAUCAUUCUACAAGCUCUGAAACUGAAGAUAAAAAAUCAGCAAUGGAACAUUGCUGCUUGAGUCAGAGGUGUGAAGGAAUCAGCUCUCCACUCCAUGAUCCAUCCUCCAGCUCACAGCUGGUACAAAUGGGUACAUCCUUGGCAGUUCAAUCACUACUGUCCCAUUGGCUGGAAAUGUUGUAUUUUCUGACAUUAGAGUAUACACAGAUUCAUCUCAGAUGGCAACCAUGAAACUAAAUGUGCUGUUGUAAUGAUGGGAAAAAUCUUCAGUGCUUUGUUUUAUUUGACCAGUCCUCAAAAGUCAAGGUGUGACUCAUUGCACAGCCAGAGGUUAUAAUGAAGUAUCCCACUCAUCCUUUAGCUCACCCUUUGUUCGAGACAAUGUGGAUUGCGGAAGGUUUCUGAGGAGCCAAAAGUUGGUGAAGGCUCCUGAGUGUCCCCGUUUGCCAUGCAGAGGUUCAGAGUUAGCAAUGCAGGCUGGCUGCCUACGUGCUCUCAGCUAGAGACUUUUAAAGAGCAGCAGCAGGAGUAAAACUGGUGAGAUUUCUUUGCUUCCUUCUCAGCUUUUCAGAGCCCAGGCAGCUUUGUUUGACUUACAGUGCUUUGCUAAAACAGUGUAUCUGGUGUGUCAACCUCUGUUCUGCCUCACACAUGGCAUCAUUUUUCCCCUCUGUCCCUUCACUGUGUCCUGCUCAGGACACCUCAGCCUGGCAGAGCACAGAUCCAGUGCAGAACCAGUAACAGACCAGUAAGAGAAGGGAGAAAACUGGCCAGAUGGAUAUCUGAGCUGCUCAAAAUCACAAGCACCAAGAGAAGCAAAUUAAUCUCAGUGCCCCCUCAUUCUCUUUCUGGUCUUUAACUGAGCCUCAAAAAUAGCCCUGAUUUAUUGGAAACUCUUGAGAAGCAAGAAAAUGUACAAAAAAACCCUAUUCCCAUACAAUCAACUAGCAAAACCCAGGAGGCAGAGCAUUUGCUGGCUGGCUACAAUAGAGCUUUGCAAGUGUCCCUGCUAAAAUCAUCCCUGCUAGGGGCUAAUGUGAUGCUUGUCUUAGCUUGUUAGAGAGCCUCGUUGUCUUCAGACACGUACUUGAAAAACAAUGCUGGUGGUUGGUUGCUACCUGAGGGAAGAAGGACAAAGGAUCUCGGCUGUCUCUGUGGAAUGGUCACUGGUCAGGUCACCCCAAGCCUGACCUGCAAUACCAAGUGCAUGCUGCAAAUCCAUUGCUGUCAGCCCUUGUGUUUUGUCUCAUCUAUGGAGCCCCAGCCACCUCUGACCUCUUCCUUCCCUUCCUUCAGGCCAUGAGGCUCCUGCUCAGCUGCUCUGUAGCUUCCCCCCACCCGGAGGGAGGACAGGCUAGGGGAGGUGACAACCUUCAGCAAAGGUUAAGACUGGAAAAGAAGGAAGUGUCAGCUCAAUCAGGUCAGCUCAGCCAACCAACUGCUGCUGUAAUCCCUCUGCCUCAGGUCCCUGUGCUGUUGUGCUCGUGCUCUGAAUGUUACUGUAUGAGCAGCAGCCUUGUCCCCACAGUACUGUCAGCCUGCAGCAUCCAGACAGGGAGAUGGGGAAAAGGGGUAAAGAGAAUCUCCCAGAACUGUUUCCAGAUCCUCCUCUUCCAGUGUGUUUCAGAAGCAUGCACUUUGAGAUGGACUUUACUCCAGAAGUUCAGAAGCCCAGACUUGGCACCCUCUGAUUUCUCCAGAAGAAGGCUGAGAGCUAGAUAUGGAUCAAUUCUUAUGCUGAACCUCCAAAUUCACAGCAAACCCAGAAGCUUUGAGAAGCUGUCAGUGACACGACCCCAGUUCUCUCUGCCCAUGUCUGAGGUGCCUCUUCUGGGAUGGGAGCAACUGAGUCUCACCAAUCUGUCAGCAACCAGGAGGAAGCCAGGAAACAAAUAAACAAUAAAAGUUGGUGCUGCACUUCAUACAGCAGCCAGUGCAUUA